GAUGAACGCUGGCGGCGUGCCUAAUACAUGCAAGUCGAACGGGUUUACACUCACGGCAUACGGGUGCGUAACACGUAGGUACUUUGCUUGUCGCAGGCAUCACCCUCUGAAAUUUCGGCUAAUAUCUCGUGUGAUAGCAUACUUAAAGAGCACACGCCAGGAUUAGCGGACAAGAAGUGGCCUUCGGCCGAUCAGCUAUUUGGCGGGGUAAUUGCCCACCAAGGCUAUGGCGGGUAGCUGGUCGUAUGAGGAUGCGCAGUCACGUGGGAAGUGAGACACGGGCCCAACACCGUCGGGAGGGAGCAGGAGGGUAGUUUACGCAAUGGGCGAAAGCCGGAAGCAGCGACGCCGCGUGAGGGAGGAAUGCCGGCGGGUAAUAGACCGCGUUUAUAAGGGACGAACUUUGACGGUACCUGAUGAAUAAGGGCCUGCUAACUCCGUG
rnacentral:rRNA from 1 species